GACGUAGGGGGCAAGCGUUGUCCGGAAUCAUUGGGCGUAAAGCGCUCGUAGGUGGAUCGGUAAGUCUGCAAAGAAAGACCCGGGCUCAACUCGGGGAACGGUGUGGAUACUACCGAUCUUGAGGCAAUCAGAGGAUGAUGGAAUUCCCGGUGUAGCGGUGAAAUGCGUAGAUAUCAGGAGGAACACCGGUGGCGAAGGCGGGUCUCUGGGCAACAACUGACGCUGAGGAGCGAAAGCGUGGGGAGCGAACAGG
rnacentral:rRNA from 1 species